AUUGAACGCUGGCGGCAGGCCUAACACAUGCAAGUCGAGCGGAUGAAGGGAGCUUGCUCCUGGAUUCAGCGGCGGACGGGUGAGUAAUGCCUAGGAAUCUGCCCGGUAGUGGGGGAUAACGUCCGGAAACGGGCGCUAAUACCGCAUACGUCCUGAGGGAGAAAGUGGGGGAUCUUCGGACCUCACGCUAUCAGAUGAGCCUAGGUCGGAUUAGCUAGUUGGUGGGGUAAAGGCCUACCAAGGCGACGAUCCGUAACUGGACUGAGAGGAUGAUCAGUCACACUGGAACUGGGACACGGUCCAGACUCCUACGGGAGGCAGCAGUGGGGAAUAUUGGACAAUGGGCGAAAGCCUGAUCCAGCCAUGCCGCGUGUGUGAAGAAGGUCUUCGGAUUGUAAAGCACUUUAAGUUGGGAGGAAGGGCAGUAAGUUAAUACCUUGCUGUUUUGACGUUACCAACAGAAUAAGCACCGGCUAACUUCGUG
rnacentral:rRNA from 1 species